GACGAACGCUGGCGGCGUGCUUAACACAUGCAAGUCGAACGGAGUGGCGAACGGGUGAGUAACACGUGGGUGAUCUGCCUUGCACUUCGGGCUAAGCUUGGGAAACUGGGUCUAAUACCGGAUAGUGCAAGAUGAGCUCGCGGCCUAUCUGCUUGUUGGUGGGGUAAUGGCCUACCCAGGCGGCGACGGGUAGCCGGCCUGAGAGGGUGUACGGCCACAAUGGGCCUGAGGUACGGCCCAGACUCCGACGGGGGGCAGCAGGGGGGAAUCUUGCACAAUGGGCGGAAGCGUGAUGCAGGGACGCCGCGUGGGGGAGGAAGGCAUUCGGGUUGUAAACUUCUUACGACAGGGACGCGUUACCUGGAUAAGAAGCACCGGCUAACUACGUGCCAGCAGCCGCGGUAAUAC
rnacentral:rRNA from 1 species